ACAGAGGGUGCGAGCGUUAAUCGGAAUUACUGGGCUUAAAGGGUGCGUAGGUGGGUCCGCAAGUGCCCUGUGAAAUCCCCCGGCUCAACCGGGGAACUGCGGGGCAUACUGCGGGUCUUGAGGAAGGUAGGCGCCGAGGGAACAGUAGGUGGAGCGGUGAAAUGCGUAGAUAUCUACUGGAACGCCGAUGGUGAAGACGCUCGGCUGGGCCUUUCCUGACACUGAAGCACGAAAGCGUGGGGAGCAAACAGGA
rnacentral:rRNA from 1 species